rnacentral:tRNA from 1 species
UAGGUUGUUAGAUUAGUGGUUAAAUCACGGUUUUUACACGACUGAGCCAUAGGUUCAAUUCCUAUACAACCUAA